CAACAGUAUUGAGUUCCCAAGUUUUAGUUCCCAGUUUUCUCCUUCAUCUUCCCAAACCCUAUUACCUCCAUUUUUCGUUCUCGCCAUAGUACCUCCAUUUUUCGUUCUCGCCCUUCUCUUCAUCCUUCAUUCACUUUCUCCUUCAUCCUCCCACACGAACCCUAAUCAUCUUCGACCUUUUUUCAUUUUGCCUCUCUGUUUCUUUCCCAAAUCGCAUGAACCCUAAUCGUUUCUCAUUUAUUAAUUUAUUUUAUUUUUCAAAUCGCAGGAACCUAACCUACAUCUAGUGAGUUCUAAGCGCAAUUUCAGAUAGAGAUGCAGCAAUAGCUUAUGCUGCUGCUUUGGUUGCUGCUCAGUGUGCAAUAGUAGCUGAAGCAAUGGGAGAUAAGAAAGAAGAUCUCAGUAGUGUUAUUGGUUCUGCCAUGAGUGGUACAAGUGCAAGUGACAUCCUAACUCUCACUGCAGCUGCAACAUUUAAUCAUUUUUAUUAUUUUCACUCAUACUUUUUUUGAUAGAGUUAUGUUGGGGAAAAUUGAGGGUAUAGAUGCAAGACUUAACAUCAGAUUUUGGAUUUUAAAUUUUGAAAUUGGUAUUAGAGCAUUGACAUUAGUAAAUCUAAUGGUCUCAACAGUUGCAAUGUGUAAUUUCUAUAGGAGAUCUAUUUUUGUUAUCUGCAAGCAAACAUCAUUAUAGGAUUAAUCUAACAAUUUAGACUUUUGAGUA